rnacentral:rRNA from 2 species
GGUCUUGCUUCGCGGUAUGGUCAUUGGAGACGAUGACCUUCAGUUCGGCUGGCCCUAGAACAGGUGCUGCAUGGCUGUCGUCAGCUCGUGUCGUGAGAUGUUGGGUUAAGUCCCGCAACGAGCGCCACCCUCGCCCUUAGUUGCCAGCAUUGAGUUGGGCACUCUAAGGGGACUGCCGGUGAUAAGCCGAGAGGAAGGUGGGGAUGACGUCAAGUCCUCAUGGCCCUUACGGGCUGGGCUACACACGUGCUACAAUGGUGGUGACAGUGGGCAGCGAGACAGCGAUGUCGAGCUAAUCUCCAAAAGCCAUCUCAGUUCGGAUUGCACUCUGCAUCUCGAGUGCAUGAAGUUGGAAUCGCUAGUAAUCGCAGAUCAGCAUGCUGCGGUGGAUACGUUCCCGGGUCUGGUACACACCGA